rnacentral:other from 1 species
AGAGUCCUGAAAUGUACGUUGCACUACCUGAAGUUUUGACCGAACAUUAUUUCUUCGGGAGUCUGGAGUUUUCUAGUUGCGUAAAUGCCUCAACCAUUACGGGAAAGGGGACUUACAAAAUCAGAAACAGGACACCCCCCUGCUGAGUGCGGGAUCAAAACAAGGGAUCAUAAGCGACGGCAUCAUUGGGACUCUU